rnacentral:rRNA from 1 species
GCAAGUCACUGAGGGUGAGAACCCCGUCCGUGGCCCGGUGAUUGGCGGGCAGUGCGGCGGCCCCAAUGAGUCGGGUUGUUUGGGAAUGCAGCUCAAAAUGGGUGGUAAAUUUCAUCUAAAGCUAAAUAUUGGCAAGAGACCGAUAGCGAACAAGUAGAGUGAUCGAAAGAUGAAAAGCACUUUGAAAAGAGGGUGAAACAGUGCGUGAAAUUGUUGAAAGGGAAGCGCUUGGCAUCAGCCCAUGACUUUUGUCCAUCAUCCUGGCUUCUGCCUGGUGCAAUGGUCAAGAGUUGGGCCAGCGUCGGCUCCUUCCGCCCUAGAAAGGCCUUGGGGACGUGGCUCCAUCUGGAGCGUUAUAACCCUUGGCGGCAUGGGGUGAGAUGGGGCCGAGGUCCGCGGCAUAGCCCAGGACGCUGGCGUAAUGGUCCCAAGCGACCCGUCUUGAAACACGGACCAAGGAGUCUAACAUCUAUGCGAGUGUUUGGGUGUCAAGCCCGGCCGCGCAAUGAAAGUGAAAGGGGCGGGAGCCUAGA